rnacentral:rRNA from 1 species
GACGAACGCUGGCGGCGUGCUUAACACAUGCAAGUCGAACGGAAAGGCCCCGCUUUUGUGGGGUGCUCGAGUGGCGAACGGGUGAGUAACACGUGAGUAACCUGCCCUUGACUUUGGGAUAACUUCAGGAAACUGGGGCUAAUACCGGAUAGGAGCUCCUGCUGCAUGGUGGGGGUUGGAAAGUUUCGGCGGUUGGGGAUGGACUCGCGGCAUAUCAGCUUGUUGGUGGGGUAGUGGCUUACCAAGGCUUUGACGGGUAGCCGGCCUGAGAGGGUGACCGGCCACAUUGGGACUGAGAUACGGCCCAGACUCCUACGGGAGGCAGCAGUGGGGAAUAUUGCACAAUGGGCGGAAGCCUGAUGCAGCAACGCCGCGUGCGGGAUGACGGCCUUCGGGUUGUAAACCGCUUUCGCCUGUGACGAAGCGUGAGUGACGGUAAUGGGUAAAGAAGCACCGGCUAACUACGUG